AUUAGUCUCUAUGUGACAGCGGCAGCUGCAUCAGGGGCCACCGGCCCGGUUAUAAAGACUGAAAUAAUUCAGCUGUGUGUGUGUGUGUGUGUGAGACAGAGUGAGAGAGAGAGAGAGAGAGAUCCCUGAACAAGUGCCACCCACGGCAGAUGUGGAUUUUUAUGUUUUCCUGUCUGUCCUCUGGGGUUUCCUCACCUCUGACCUCCGUCCCCUCAGACAGACACUUAACAACAAGCCAACUCCAGAGUCAUUUCCACCUUUUAACGCAGGGCUGUCAAACUCAAAGUCAAACUUAAUAUUUAUUGAAAAAUUGAGGAUUAAUGUGAGGAUGCAGAUCACUGAAAAACCACUGGAGUUUUGACAAGUCGUCAGGACGCUGUGGAAGGAUUUCCUGUCAUGACUGUCUGUCCUUCUGUCUGGUCAUUAGUUAAUCACCCUCACCUGGUCCUGUGCCUCUUUGUCUCAUUAGUCUCACCCGUCUCACCUGGUGCCCUGGGUAUUUAAACCUCCCUCUCUCACACAGGAUUUAUGUCUGGGUUGGUCUGUUGGUCUCGUUCUCAGUGUCUGUAUCUGCUCCAUGUCUGCAGCGCUGCCUCUGGGUCCAGCCCUUUUUUGUUUGUGGUGUUUCCCAGAGAAGGGGAAUAAAAGCCUCAGUUCUCAAGUAGAAGUUUGCAGACUUCUUGAAGGCCUUGACCUCCGAGCUGAGCCUGACAGAGUGAUCGAUGACAUCAGGUGCAGCAGCACAGGAAGCUUUUUGUCAGCGUGGCCUGUCCUUUGGGAUUACAGAGUAAGGGAUCAGAUGACAACGUUUGAAGUGAUUCGACAACAGAGGCUGUAACUGGAAGACAAUCAUCCCAUGAGAGCGAACUUGAUCUUGAACCAUCAUUGUGCCCAAGCCUGUGUGAUGGAGGAGGAUGAGGAGGAGGAGGAGGAGGAGCGGCGGGUUAACAGGAGGAAUGAAAAACAGGAAAACAAACAAAACGCUUCACUGGCUGCUGCCGAUGUGACCUACCAAGCUGACACAACAUGUGCCACCCACACACACGCACACCCUAAAAACACGGAGCAGCGAGGGGGGAGGAGUCAGUCAUUGUUGUUCCCGUGAGUAGAGGUGGCCUGACCCCACACCCUGCACUUCACUGCCUGUUAUUGGCUGCUUCUGCCUGUGCCAGUGAAUUAGACAGCAAACCACUUCUGUGCAAAAGAACAACAAAGAGUUAGAGUGAAAGGACCAAGGUGACCUAAUACACACACACACACACACACACACACACGCAUAUACUACACUAGUUUACUGCAGAGGCCCUGGAAUGAACUGACACUUAAAAAUUAAGUUUUAUAAAGGUAAAAACCUGUAACUGUUUUUGGUCUCAUGCUUUUUUUAAAGUGACUCCUGUAAAUGAUUUUGAAAAAUGUUUAAAUGAAAGUUAUGUUAAAUUAUGCUUAUUAUUAUAUUCGUAGCAAAAACAUCUUAUAUUUUGCGAAUAACGCUGUCAAUGUUUAACUUUAUAAACACCUUCAAUCAUAGAAAUAUUCUGUACAUCUGUCGAAGAUAUGGCACUCAGCGGCACCGCGUGCAAAUGGCGCCCUCUCCCGGACAAGACAGGUCGGCACAUAAGUAAUAGAAAAAUGAGGAAAAAAAGACUGAAGAACUUCAUAAAUGAAAUGUUUUAUUGUGAAAAUUAGUUCCGUUGUUUAACAAAACACAGAAUGCAUUGAGGUUACGCUGAAAGGAUAAAUGAUAACAAAGAAAAUUAGUCAACCAAAAGCUGCAUUAAUGAGGACAUAAACAAAAUGUUAGCUUCCUUCAAAAGAUAACAA